GACGGGGCCCGCACAAGCGGAGGACAUGUGGUUAAUUCGAUGAUACGCGAGGAACCUUACCUGGGCUUAAAUGUAGAGUGCAUUUUCUAGAGAUAGGAAUUCCCUUCGGGGCUUUCUACAAGGUGCUGCAUGGUUGUCGUCAGCUCGUGCCGUGAGGUGUCGGGUUAAGUCCCAUAACGAGCGCAACCCUUAUCGUUAGUUGCCAUCUGGUAAAGCAGGGGACUCUAGCGAAACUGCCACCGUAAGGUGAGAGGAAGUGGGGAUGACGUCAAAUCAGCACGGCCCUUAUGUCCAGGGCUACACACGUGUUACAAUGGUCGGUACAGAGGGCAGCUACCUGGUGACAGGAUGCUAAUCUCGAAAACCGGCCUCAGUUCGGAUCGAAGUCUGCAACUCGACUCCAUGAAGUCGGAAUCGCUAGUAAUCGCGGAUCAGCAUGCCGCGGUCGAAUACGUUCCCGGGCCUU
rnacentral:rRNA from 1 species